AUUCACCCGAGAUGGAGAAGGUGCUUCGGGAGCUAAUAUACAGGUGCUGCACGGCUGUCGUCAGCUCGUGUCGUGAGAUGUUGGGUUAAGUCCCGCAACGAGCGCGACCCUCGUCACUAGUUACUAACGGUUCGGCCGAGGACUCUAGCGAGACUGCCUUCGUAAGGAGGAGGAAGGUGAGGACGACGUCAAGUCAUCAUGGCCCUACGGCUAGGGCAACACACGUGCUACAAUGGUUAGGACCAUGAGAAGCGAUAUCGCGAGGUGGAGCACAUCUAUAAACCUAAUCUCAGUUCGGAUUGUAGUCUGCGACUCGACUACAUGAAGCUGGAAUCACUAGUAAUCGUAGAUCAGCUAUGCUACGGUGAAUACGUUCCCGGGUCUUGUACUCACCGCCCGUCACACCAUGGGAGUUGAUUUCAACCCGAAGCGGGGGAAGCUAAACUGGCUACCCUCCACGGUGGAAUUAGCGACUGGGGUGAAGUCGUGCACAAGGUAACC
rnacentral:rRNA from 1 species